GGUGCUUCGGGUUCAAGGUCUUUUGUUUCACCCAUAACUGUCUCCUCACAACGGGGAUAAAAGACAAUGAGCCCCACUGAAGGAACAAUUGCGCUUUUUUCGGGGCGCCGCUGUUCACCAUCUGCCCGUGUCUGUUGCUCUUGAGUGCGGUAAGAGGAGGAUAAUCUGCCCACAGCUCAUUCGCUCAAGAGCCGUUAAAGAUCCACCAUCUGACGAGCUUGAGCGCUGCUGUCACACACUGUCACACACAAUCAUUGAUUAUAUACAACAUGGAGGAAUGCAGCAUCGAGUAAUGUGAUCAGAGCCGAUCUCUUCAGCUGAUCCUGCGCUGUGUGGCAUUCCUCUGUUUCUAAUCCGUCUCAGUGGGUCACACAGACCCCUGCUUAACCGAUAUCAGCUCAGCGGGCGUAUUAACUAUGGAUGACGUCAGGCUUUGCUGCAUGUUAUUCACAAGGGCACAGCCGCCCUUCUUCAGAGAUACAUCACUAAGCUCCUACUGUUCCUGAGCCUCGCUGGCUAACUGUGCCAGAGUCUCUGGCUAUAUUUAGCGCUGCCUGUUUGGUUUUGGGUGCAGAUUAAUGUGGGGAGAUGAAAAUGGGAGCGAGGGAUAUCCGAACCUCUCCGAUGAUGGAUUUUAUGUAGAAGCCUGUAGCCUGUGAUAGGAGUUAAAGGUUUAUCCUGCUGGUAUUAAUUGCUUCCUGGUGAAUCUUUUGGUCUGAGUCUGCAUCUCCUCUGCAGAGAGACGGUAAGUAGGAAAUAGAUACAUAUAGGGGCAUGUGAAGCACAAUGCACAUACAUGAUUACAUCAUGAGUCCAGUGUCUGAUCAUCUAUGGUGUGAGGGCAAAAUGUGCCCUUUUGAAGAGUUUAAUACCUAUGGAAGCCUUGUUUGUUAAUGACCCUGAUCCAUUUAAUGUCCAAUGGGGACCAUCCACUGUAUGACUCAUGCUAUUCAUGUGUGCAUGUAUGAUUCAUGAUUUAAAAUUAUUCAUUUUAUAAAAAAAAAAAAAUGUAAAUAU